GCGUUGAGGGUAGCAAACCGAUGCGUUUGCUAGGCUCCAAAUACUUGAAGUUGUGAUAAGUGAGCAGGGAAAAGGAGAGCACAAAAAGGCAGCAAGUGUUUUGAACUCACCUAGACUGAUGAACAGAAGCAGAAGGCAAUAAAAAUCCAUUAGCCUGACUGUUCCCUGCAGAGGAGAAACAGGCGCACAAAAUCCAAUUCAUUAUUCCCUUUCUUAUUUAAUGCUAAGUAAGUCAUUGAACUUUACUACUUGAUCUAUCCAUUUUCUUUAGUAGUAGGGCUGCAGGAAAUCUUUCUCUUCUCAAAGGGGGUUUCAAGUUUCUCGCUGAUAUCAUGUAAAAAAUACUUGGAAUGUAUGAGUAAAAAAUAACUGCAUUUCAAAGGGAGCUUGAGCCAUGCAGAUAAUGACAAUUUUUCUCUUCUGAAGCACAGAACCAGGGAGCGGAGGUCCCUGGGAGCUCGGAGCACCAUUGUUCUUCUUCCAGGCCGUUAUCUGGAGACAGGCCCUGUGAUAGACUCCGCUGAGGCCACCAAACGGAUUAUCUGCUCGGAGUGCUAAUGGCAUGCGUUUGACAACAUCAACCGCUUAAUUUAUGAGGUGCCUCGUAAUGCAAAGGCAAAGAAAUCCAUACCAUGCAAAAGCCCAGGUUAUGGACCUGGCCUGUCUGGACUCAUUUCCCAUUUGUUUGGUGCUUUUGCACCUUGGUGCUGCUGGUAUUAAUAACUCAGAGCAUCAACCCUGGACGGAAUGGGCACGAUCAAACCCAGACACUGCCCAGUGUCUGGUACCAUUCACAUCUGGACGCAGACUGCUGCCGGAACACAGCCAAAAAACUCAUGCUGCUGGGUGCUAAAACUGAGCAAGUAAACACCGCCACGAAAAACCCGGGCACCGAGCGGGCAGGCAGACAAAAUGGCAGUCUGCGAAGCGAACAUGCGUAUCAAGCUGCCAGUUUUUGUGAACCAGGAAGCCGAUCACCAGUUUACACAACAAACCCAAACACUUUUCCAUUUCCAGCUCGGCGGGCCUGAUUCUGCCGCUGGUGUUUGCAGGAUGGAGCGAUGACUCAGGGGAGCGGUGGGGCCUGCAGCUUGCACCAGCACGCCCGGCACAGCAGAGGUGGCGCGGGCGCACCCUGCACCCUGCAGCAUCCGCCCCGCAGCAGUGCCACCCCUGGGGUGCCACGGGGCACAGAGGAUGACGGCUCCAGGCUGGGGGAAUGCUCCAGGUCCUGCAAAACUUGGCAUAAGCUGGAGCCCCUCGGAGGGAAAGGGGGGAUGCCAGGAGGGAUGUGCAUUUCCCAGGAGCCAUGGAUGGCCAGGGAGCAGUGCAGCUUUACAUUGGCUCCUCAGGUGUGCUUUACUCUGCUGCUGUUAUCCCAAAAGAGUAAGAAAAACUUUUAGGGAUGUUCAGGGCAUGUUUCAGCUGCCAGUCCCUUGCUGGCAUGGUCCUGUAUGGAAAGUGUUUUACAUCUCACGCUUCUUAACCUGUGUUUCUACAGUGCAUCUGCCUGGUGCAUCCCUGUCCAAAAUGGUUAGACAUUCCCAGUAAAAGGCAACACCUGUAGUAUGGUAAAAAAUGUCCUGGUUUUUGCCAUUUGCAAUGACAAACUUGGGUUUGCUUGCCAGCAUCACCUCUUUUAUCCUUUUCCCAUCUCGGUCACUUUUUCGAGCAGUUUGACAGCCUGAAGUUACGGACUUGCACAAAUAAAUCACCUGCUGUUACCACGGCUGCUCUUUGCAGAUGGGCAGGCAUACAAACACCUCAAAUGAAAAGCAUAUUGAUUUCUUCUGGGAGACGAUUAUCACAAAUAUUGUUGACCUUACAUUAUAUGCAAUUGUUUAUAUAAAGAGAAAGACCUCUUACUUCCUCCUGGGGCGUUUGGGAAUUUGGCAGGCUCUGAAAGCGAGUCAGUGGUGCAUAGGGUAACACUCGCUCCUCUGGGGGAGUGUGCUUAGCGCUAUUGCAGGAGAUCAUAUUAGCCCUUUUGACAGGAUCAAACAGAAAGUUGCAGCUGAACAAUGAGUUUUUAGGAUGAAAAGUGAAAUGUUAAGAAGGUGUGUACGUCUCUGUGAAUUUGCUUCAUUUUGCUCGUUGAUGUGGCGGUAACAGAACUAUUUUUAGGUAUAAUCCUUCAAACA